rnacentral:rRNA from 1 species
ACGGGGUGCAGCAGGCGCGAAAAACCCUUUACAACUGCACGAAAGUGCGAUAAGGGGACUCCAAGUGCGAGGGCAUAUAGUCCUCGCUUUUUGCGACCGUAAGGUGGUCGCGGAAUAAGUGCUGGGCAAGACCGGUGCCAGCCGCCGCGGGUAAUACCGGCAGCACGAGUGAUGACCGCUAUUAUUGGGCCUAAAGCGUCCGUAGCUGGCCAUGCAAGUCCAUCGGGAAAUCCGCGCGGCUUAACGCGCGGGCGUCCGGUGGAAACUGCAUGGCUUGGGACCGGAAGACCAGAGGGGUACGUCCGGGGUAGGAGUGAAAUCCCGUAAUCCUGGACGGACCACCGGUGGCGAAAGCGCCUCUGGAAGACGGAUCCGACGGUGAGGGACGAAAGCUCGGGUCACGAACCGGAUUAGAUACCCGGGUAGUCCGAGCUGUAAACGAUGUCUGCUAGGUGUGGCACAGGCUACGAGCCUGUGCUGUGCCGCAGGGAAGCCGUGAAGCAGACCGCCUGGGAAGUACGUCCGCAAGGAUGAAACUUAA